GACGAACGCUGGCGGCGUGCUUAACACAUGCAAGUCGAACGGGGUGUUUAUUUCGGUAAACACCAAGUGGCGAACGGGUGAGUAACGCGUAAGCAAUCUACCUUCAAGAUGGGGACAACACUUCGAAAGGGGUGCUAAUACCGAAUGAAUGAGAGAURACCGCAUGGAUAUUUCUCUAAAGGAGGCCUCUGAAAAUGCUUCCGCUUGAAGAUGAGCUUGCGUCUGAUUAGCUAGUUGGUGAGGGUAAAGGCCCACCAAGGCGACGAUCAGUAGCCGGUCUGAGAGGAUGAACGGCCACAUUGGGACUGAGACACGGCCCAGACUCCUACGGGAGGCAGCAGUGGGGAAUCUUCCGCAAUGGGCGAAAGCCUGACGGAGCAACGCCGCGUGAACGAAGAAGGUCUUAGGAUCGUAAAGUUCUGUUGUUAGGGGCGAAGGGUAGCAUUUUGAAUAAGGGUGCUAUUUGACGGUACUUAACGAGGAAGCCACGGCUAACUACGUGCCAGCAGCCGCGGUAAUACGUAGGCGGCAAGCGUUGUCCGGAAUUAUUGGGCGUAAAGGGAGCGCAGGCGGGAAGUUAAGCGGACUUUAAAAGUGCGGGGCUCAACCCCGUGAGGGGGUCCGAACUGACUUUCUUGAGUGCAGGAGAGGGAAGCGGAAUUCCUAGUGUAGCGGUGAAAUGCGUAGAUAUUAGGAAGAACACCAGUGGCGAAGGCGGCUUUCUGGACUGUAACUGACGCUGAGGCUCGAAAGCUAGGGUAGCGAACGGGAUUAGAUACCCUGGUAGUCC
rnacentral:rRNA from 1 species